rnacentral:lncRNA from 1 species
UUUCAACCUAUUUCAAUGGUGCUUUGUAUCUACAAAAAUAUUUUUUUUAAAAAUUUGAAAGAUAUUAGUAUCCCACUAUGCUUCAAUGUUUGAUCAUCAUCAAAAUCAUCCUUGGAGUCAACACAUAUGAUGUUUUAUUUUAAUUAAUUUGAUUAAUUAAAAUAUAUGCAAAAAAUCUAAAAAUUUUUUCAAGUGGUAUC